UGGGGAAUAUUGCACAAUGGGCGAAAGCCUGAUGCAGCGACGCCGCGUGGGGGAUGACGGCCUUCUGGUUGUAAACCUCUUUCAGCAAGGAAGAAGCGAAAGUGACGGUACUUGCAGAAGAAGCGCCGGCUAACUACGUGCCAGCAGCCGCGGUAAUACGUAGGGCGCAAGCGUUGUCCGGAAUUAUUGGGCGUAAAGGGCUUGUAGGUGGCUUGUCGCGUCUGCCGUGAAAACUCGAGGCUUAACCUUGGGCGUGCGGUGGGUACGGGCAGGCUAGAGUGCGGUAGGGGAGACUGGAAUUCCUGGUGUAGCGGUGAAAUGCGCAGAUAUCAGGAGGAACACCGAUGGCGAAGGCAGGUCUCUGGGCCGUUACUGACACUGAGAAGCGAAAGCAUGGGGAGCGAACAGG
rnacentral:rRNA from 1 species